UACGGAGGGUGCGAGCGUUAAUCGGAAUUACUGGGCGUAAAGCGCGCGUAGGUGGUUUGAUAAGCUAGCUGUGAAAGCCCCGGGCUCAACCUGGGAACUGCAGUUAGAACUGUCUGACUAGAGUACAGUAGAGGGUGGCGGAAUUUCCUGUGUAGCGGUGAAAUGCGUAGAUAUAGGAAGGAACAUCAGUGGCGAAGGCGGCCACCUGGACUGAUACUGACACUGAGGUGCGAAAGCGUGGGGAGCAAACAGG
rnacentral:rRNA from 1 species